GACGAACGCUGGCGGCGUGCCUAAUACAUGCAAGUAGAACGCUGAAGGAGGAGCUUGCUUCUCUGGAUGAGUUGCGAACGGGUGAGUAACGCGUAGGUAACCUGCCUGGUAGCGGGGGAUAACUAUUGGAAACGAUAGCUAAUACCGCAUAAGAUUGACUAUUGCAUGAUAGUCAGUUAAAAGGUGCAAUUGCAUCACUACCAGAUGGACCUGCGUUGUAUUAGCUAGUUGGUGGGGUAACGGCUCACCAAGGCGACGAUACAUAGCCGACCUGAGAGGGGGAUCGGCCACACUGGGACUGAGACACGGCCCAGACUUCUACGGGAGGCAGCAGUAGGGAAUCUUCGGCAAUGGACGGAAGUCUGACCGAGCAACGCCGCGUGAGUGAAGAAGGUUUUCGGAUCGUAAAGCUCUGUUGUAAGAGAAGAACGAGUGUGAGAGUGGAAAGUUCACACUGUGACGGUAGCUUACCAGAAAGGGACGGCUAACUACGUG
rnacentral:rRNA from 1 species